AGUGAACGCUGGCGGCGUGCCUAAUACAUGCAAGUCGAACGCGAAAGUCCUUCGGGAUGAGUAAAGUGGCGCACGGGUGAGUAAUACAUGGGAACAUGCCCUUGGAUGGGGAAUAACGUUUGGAAACGAACGCUAAUACCGCAUAAUCUCGCGAGAGUAAAGGUGGCGCCGCAAGGGCUACCGUCCACGGAUUGGCCCAUGUGCCAUUAGCUAGUUGGCGGGGUAAUGGCCCACCAAGGCAACGAUGGGUAACUGGUCUGAGAGGAUGAUCAGUCACACUUGAACUGAGACGCGGUCCAGACUCCUACGGGAGGCAGCAGUAGGGAAUAUUGCACAAUGGGGGAAACCCUGAUGCAGCAACGCCGCGUGAGUGAAGAAGGCCCUUGGGUUGUAAAGCUCUUUAGCGUGGGAAGAAGGUAGAUAUGGUGAAUAAUCAUGUUUGCUGACGGUACCACGAGAAUAAGCACCGGCUAAUUUCGUGCCAGCCGCCGCGGUAA
rnacentral:rRNA from 1 species